UGAUAUGUUUUUUGGAAAGGAACUGGCCUU
rnacentral:piRNA from 1 species